rnacentral:rRNA from 1 species
AUUGAACGCUGGCGGCAGGCUUAACACAUGCAAGUCGAGCGGGGGAAGGUAGCUUGCUACCGAACCUGGCGGCGGACGGGUGAGUAAUGCUUAGGAAUCUGCCUAUUAGUGGGGGACAACAUCUCGAAAGGGAUGCUAAUACCGCAUACGUCCUACGGGAGAAAGCAGGGGAUCUUCGGACCUUGCGCUAAUAGAUGAGCCUAAGUCGGAUUAGCUAGUUGGUGGGGUAAAGGCCUACCAAGGCGACGAUCUGUAGCGGGUCUGAGAGGAUGAUCCGCCACACUGGGACUGAGACACGGCCCAGACUCCUACGGGAGGCAGCAGUGGGGAAUAUUGGACAAUGGGGGGAACCCUGAUCCAGCCAUGCCGCGUGUGAAGAAGGCCUUAUGGUUGUAAAGCACUUUAAGCGAGGAGGAGGCUACUUUAGUUAAUACCUAGAGAUAGUGGACGUUACUCGCAGAAUAAGCACCGGCUAACUCUGUGCCAGCCGCCGCAGUAA